rnacentral:rRNA from 1 species
AUAUGCUUGUCUCAAAGAUUAAGCCAUGCAUGUCUAAGUCCAAGCUGUGUUCACACGGCGAGACCGCGGACGGCUCAUUAAAUCAGUCGUGGUCCAAAUGGGCCAGUGCAAAUCCUACUUGGAUAACUGUGGUAAUUCCAGAGCUAAUACAUGCAACUGAUAUCCCGAAGGCGGUGUUUGGGCUUGCUUGCCUUGCGCUGCGCUGCUCUGACGGAUGCUUUUAUUAGACCAAGCCGCUGAGGACUUGAGGGUUCGCGCUCUCUUGUCUGACUCGUGUGAUGGUGACUCUGGAUAACCAAAUUCUGACAAGCGCACGUACUUCUCUUCUGAGCGAGACGGCGCUGCCACUUUCGAGUGUCUGCCUUAUCAGCUAUCAACCGUUCGUUAUGCGCGACCGAUGGCUUUGACGGGUAACGGGGAAUCAGGGUUCGAUUCCGGAGAGGCAGCCUGAGAGACGGCUACCACGUCCAAGGACGGCAGCAGGCACGCAAAUUACCCAAUCCCAGCAAAUGGGGGAGGUAGUGACGAAAUCUAACGAUGCGGGCGCCCUUUCUGGGGCCCCGCAAUCGGAAUGGGCACUUUCUAAACAACCUGUUGAGAACCUACUGAAGGGCAAGUC